rnacentral:rRNA from 1 species
GCCUAACGCAAGAGGGCGAUCACCACGGUGUGGUUCAUGACUGGGGUGAAGUCGUAACAAGGUAGCCGUAGGGGAACCUGCGGCUGGAUCACCUCCUUAAACGA